GCUCUUAUAAAGAAGAUAGUAUUCCUACAUAUCUGGUGGACCCACGACAAAUGGAUCAUAAAGUCUUUAAAAAAGAAUAGAUACGAUUACAUUGCAUGUAGUAACAGAUGCGAUCAUACCAGCACUAAUGCACUUGAUCCCAUCAGAACUCCCCAGUUAAGGGUGCUUGUGCGAGUGUAGUACUAGGAUGGGUGACCUGCCGGAAAGUCCUCGUGUUGCAUCCCUC
rnacentral:rRNA from 1 species